AGACAGACAGCAAGGUUUAUACAAAUGAUGAGCCAGUGGAUUGUGCAGUCAGAUGGAACAGAGUAAAUAGUCAUUUUUAACUUCAUAGAUUAGCCCUUGGUAAAUUGUGGAAUAGACACCAGCUGGAAUGCGGAUUUAACCAAUUUGCAUUCAGGAUUAGACCCACCCGUAGCUAGAGAAUAGUUGGAAAUUAACGAUACAUGACUGUAAUCCAUUUAUUUUCCCUAGAUUACUACUCCUGCUGCAAAGUUUCAGUGCAUAUGCAGAGUAGUUGAAGUUUUGGACAAAAAGAAAACAUGAAGCAAACAGCUCCAUGUGUAUCAAUUGGCCUUGUAGUUGGACACUAUUGGAAUAACUUUAUCCAGAUUGGCAACCAGAGUGAGUUUUUAAAGCGCUCCUGGUGUUUUUUUGUUGUUUUUUUUUCACAUAAAAUGUAUAUUUUAUGACCAUGUUGUUCCCUCCUCUUAUUCAGAGCAUGAAGCAAGAUAUUCAAGAAUUGAUCAAAACUCCAAAGUGUGAGGAAAACACCACUUUCUCUUUAGCAUCCUCACUCCUGACCACAAAAAGGGAUAUUUGUCCACAGUCUCCAUCCGUAGUGUCUCAGCACUGUACUUCAAGAACAACAGCAAGCACUCCAUGUCCUCCACAGAAAAUAGCAAAUGGCGGCCCCUCCUGUCCUACUCGCAGAACAGCAAGCAUCAUCCCCUCUUGCCUUUCCCCUAUAUCCACAGACACUCAUAAUGUAAGUUGCCAGACAGUAGAGUCCUCCCUUGUCCCCUGUGAUGCCUGUGCUCAGGUCCAGUCCAGCCUGAGGGAGACUGGUGAUUGAGAGGUGGGAAGGUGGGAAGGCCCUCGCUGCAGUGCCUCCUUCCCACCUCUCUGCAGCGCCUCCUGGUGGCUGUGGAUGACACCAUGGAGCAGGGCCGUCUGACUGUAGGAGAUGUGUCCCAGUGGUCCACAGAGCAGCAGGUCAGGUGGGAAAGGUCUGGCUUCAGCAUCUGCUGAAGGUGCAGGGCUCAGCUGGGGGAGGGCACAGGAGAAACUGAAGCGUAAAUGGGCAAAGGACCAAGCAAGACUGUAGGAGGCCCAGGCAUCCAGGAAGGAGACUGCAGGACGAACAUGAGUAGCUGAGGCUCCAUGUCCCAGGAGGAUAGCAACUCCAAACUGAAGGCAGAGAUUAGUUUGCAACAAGAAAGGUUACACAAACUCAGUAAGGACGUACACCCCCACCCCAAGUCUGAUGUUUUAGGAGCAGAAGGAGACAGCCCAAGUUAUCUCAUUGUUGUGAACAGAAAAUAUGUGGAACCUUGUCCUUUCUUUGUCAGAGUGUGAGAGAGAUAAGCUACAUCAGGAAGUGAAGGCCUUGCAGGUAGAGGAAGAGGCACGGAAUAAACUAGAGGAAAAGACACAAAAACUGGAGGUUCAACUGUCCAGUACUCAGCUCUUACUUGACAAAGAGAACUCCAAGUACCAGAAUGCAUGUCACCAACAGGAGUCACUGCAGGCCAAGCAGAUGUCUCUAUUGGAGAGAGUGGAUGCUCUGGACCAGGAGUGUGAGGAGCUUCAAGGACAGUUGGGGGAGACUGAGGACACACAGACAGGCCUACAGGAUAGACUGACACACAUCUCAGAGGAGAAGGACCAACUUAAAACCCAGCUCACCCAAGAACAGUCCCUGAGGCCUUGUGGUCUGAGCUUCAGAAGGAGAAGCAGAGAUUGUAGAGUCAUGUGGGCAAGCUGAAAGACAGUUUGGAUCAGCUGAGAGGAGAGGUGCAGGAGUUAGCCCAGAGGGAGAGGCUGCUGGUGGCAUUCCCAGAGCUCAACCCACUGACUCAGGGACCUCCACAGAACAACCUCUCUCAGCAGCUUUGGAUUCUCCCAGUCUCUGCCUGACACUCCCAGAGAGAGACAGCUAAAUCCCACCCCCUACGUACAACACAGCCCUCUACAGACCUCCAGUGCAGGAGUGUUGAAACAUUGAUUGCGGAGGAAGGGAGCAGACAAAGGGGAUUCCAUCCCUGUGGUGAUGGGGCCUUGGGAUCACGUCUCUGCCACCUUCUCUACAGCUCUGGUGCACCAGCGGACCCUACGGCUCUCCACAGACACCAGCGCAAAGAUACGCCAGGCGUCCCGAACAUGCUCUGUUGGCAAUCUCCAGAGGAAUAAAUAAAUCCAGCACUGGGUGUUCAACCUCAUGUUGACAAUUUUUGGAGCAUAGUAAUGCUGAAAGAGGCUGAGGCAGAAAGAGGCUGUUAGAAGUACAUGUCAGGCUUCUCCAUCAGGAGACUGCAGUAAGGCAUUGCAUUGUAGCUCGUACACAUAGUAGUUUGUGUAUCAGCUGAGGCAGAUGCAGAACAGUUAGAGUUCAGGAUCUUGGCAACAUUGAGCUGGCUUGAAGAUGCUAUUUAAUUGAAAAUGAAUUUGAUUCAUUCACAAACUGUGGUAUCAUGUUUUUUCUUUCUUGAACUGUUGUGUUAAUCACUUUGCUACUUUGGAUUGCAAAUGUGCAUUUGUUGACUUCAUGCAUUUAGCAAAAUUAUCCCCAGGGGAUAGUGAAACAGUUUUACCUAGUUUAGAAGGUAAAGCAAUAAGACUGAGCAUAACGAGCCUAUCAAAGCACAUUCGUUAUUUAAACUCAUAAAGAAUGUGGUCAUGCACAAACACACACUAAAAAUAAGUGUCUUAAAAUGAUCAGUCUGGAAAAGGGAGAGGCCAGGUAAAAGACAAGCCAUGGUGUGUGUGUGUUUAGCUAAGUGUGUGGUCUUCUAAAGGCUCUACUAUUGUGUCACCAACACAAUGCCACGAAUGCAGACGUGUCUAAUGACUUACAGAGUACUCUGAUGAGGGAGGGGCAAGUUCCUAUGGCAACAUUGAUGAUCAGAGCAUGACAUCUUGUGUGGGUUUCCUCCUGUCAAUCCAACCCUUCACCUAUUGAGGAGUAUACUUGGUGGUAGACCAACCAAUUCAUUGUGAAGUAUGCUUCCCAUGGCACAUUAGGGUGCAAUAUUCUUGUCCUUUGUUUGUAUUUCCUUUGCACUAGAAAUGCCAAAUGACUCUUCUGAAGGUGGGUUGUAGUCAUGGAGAUACCUGUGAAAAGCCCCAUAGAUCCAGACUGGAUAUUGACUACACCUGAAACUAACAGAAGGAGAGCACUCUUUGUAUGCAAUUCAAGCCCAUAUUAUUGUUCAUGCCUGUUCAAAUGGUUCUGCAUGAGUUCAGAGGUAGCACAAUAGUGGGUUUCAUUUUCAGGGAUAUACCUAGAUACUGAAGUAUUUGCGGAAUGCAGAUGUACUAAUGAAAUCAAUAAUUUCUUAGCCCAUUAACUCACAAAUCCUUCUCCUCAGUGACAAACUUGCUUGAUCAAGUCUAACCUUGGACCUCAGAGUUCAGUCUUUCAGUUGAGCCAAUUAUACAGCUGUGUCAUCCCUCAAGCAUGUAAUUGAGAUGUGUCCCCCCCCCCAUAGAUAAUGAAUGUAUUGUCUAUGGUAUGCUUGUCUCAUGAUUGACAGACUGAUUUAGCCUAAUUGUUAAUUGUUGCAUGGAGUAUAAAAACAAAAUAUGGCAGACACACAGUAUUUAUCUGAAAAUGUAAAAUGGAGCAUUGUAUAAUCAAUUUAGUUAUUUUAAUAGUAUGCUACCCUGUAAAAAUAACAAUAUUCAGAACGCUGCUUCAAAACAUUUAUUUGUCACAAAAUAACAACUUAUUUUAGACUAUACAACAAAAAUACAUUUGGAUGUGAAAGUAUAGAGUACAUAGGUACAGUCAGACCUCAUAUCGCACUGUGCUUACUGAUACACAAAAGACAAAGACUAACUCAGAGGUGAAGAAAUGUUCAGCUUGCCAAAAGCACCAGUGUCAACACCUGCAACUUGCCCCCACAGGAAAAACAGAGACGGUGGAAGAAGGACACAUACAGUCAUUUGCAGUUAGAAACUUAAACAAUGUGCAAAGUUGUACAAAAAUCCAUUGAAUAUUUUUGGUAUCCCCGCAUCCACCAACAUUAGAUUAUUUCAAAGGUUAUAUCUGUUGUUCAAAUCAAUUGAAUGUUAUAUAAUCAUUUACGAUAUAAUAUCCUAUGAGUAAAUACUGAGAUUAUAACAGGGAAAACUACUUGGAUAGAGGAGAAAAAAUACCUGAACAACUGCAUUCAGAUUUCAGGUAAGCUUUGGGAAUCAUUCUGUAUUCAUGAAAACAUAUUUAAGGCCAUUGGUUACUUGUGUCAUAUAUUUACAUAAACAUACUGAUUUGUUUAUAAUAACUAAUAAAUAGUGAUAAAUAAGAUACAAAACAACAUAUUUGAGUACAACACUAAGUUGAGCUACAGACACUUCUGAGGUUGGUAGCCAGUAGUCAGGGAAUCAUGCUCAUUCUUCAUCAUUCUAAGGGCUGUGGUAUAUAGAAAAUGCUAAUAACAUUAAGGCAAUGUUUUAGUAACAUUAUUAAAACACAGAUAAAUGGUAGAUGUUUUACCACAAUCUCCAAACGUGACAACCAUGCAAAUCUACACCUAAUAGGUAACAAAAUAACCCCUUAUCAGGACUUGACUGAAAACUUCAGCCAUUGGAAUGCUAUGAUUAUCACUUUGAGACAUUGUUACAUUGUUGUGACAUCUUAGACACUGUGCUAGCAGACAGGGUAGGGAGUAACUGUGGGUGAGAGUGCUAUCUCUCUGAGACAUUCAGUGUAAUUCAGCACUGUGUGAUCUCACAUAUGUGUUUUAUCAUCUAGGUCAAGCUAUUAGGCAGCUGCAGGGACCACUGCAAAUCUGUCAGAUUACAGAGGCCUCAUGAGGAUGAGGGAUGUCCUAUGGCUGGCAUAGUCUGACAAAACUCCCAAUCUCUGUUUGCCAAUAUGCUUUUAAGCAGCAGCAGCAGCACCACCACCAAAUACCCUGUGCAGGUACAUCAUGCACUGGGUUUGUACUUGCCUUACAAAAAGCAUAUUUUAGAUCACAUGCCCUUAAAAUUGUCAGAGACUCCAGUCACCCAAGUCUUAAACUGUUCUCUCUGCUACCACACGGCAAGCGGUACCAGAGCGGCAAGUUUAAGUACAAAAGGCCCCUUAACAGCUUCUACCCCCAAGCCAUAAGACUGCUGAAGAAUUAAUCAAAUGGCCACCUGGACUAAUUACUG